CACAGAUGUGAACUGUAGGGGGCGCUCUAACACAUCUCAGGCCUCACAGAUGUGAACUGUAGGGGGCGCUCUAACACAUCUCAGUCCUCACAGAUGUGAACUGUAGGUGGCGCUCUAACACAUCUCAGUCCUCACAGAUGUGAACUGUAGGGGGCGCUCUAACACAUCUCAGGCCUCACAGAUGUGAACUGUAGGUGGCGCUCUAACACAUCUCAGUCCUCACAGAUGUGAACUGU